rnacentral:rRNA from 1 species
AGCUCCAAUAGCGUAUAUUAAAGUUGUUGCAGUUAAAAAGCUCGUAGUUGAAUUUCUGGUUAGAAUAGUCGGUCUUGCACUCAGUGUAAGUACCAGACUCUUCUUCCCAUCUUUAGGGAGAACUCAUAUGGCAUUAAUUUGUUGUGUGAUGUAUCCUUAUCGUUUACUGUGAAAAAAUUAGAGUGUUCAAAGCAGGCUUAUGCCGUUGAAUAUAUUAGCAUGGAAUAAUAAGAUAGGACUAUGGUACUAUUUUGUUGGUUUGUGCACCAUGGUAAUGAUUAAAAGAAACAGUCAGGGGUAUUAGUAUUCCGUAGUCAGAGGUGAAAUUCUUGGAUUUGCGGAAGACUCACAACUGCGAAAGCAUUUACCAGGGAUGUUUUCAUUAAUCAAGAACGAAAGU